AUGUAAAUUCCUACAAAAUUAAUGCACUAGAUACCAUUAUAAAUUUGCAUUUAAGCACACUUGGGAUAGAGUAGUACUAGGAUGGGUGACCUCCCAGGAAGUCCUAGUGUUUUACAUG
rnacentral:rRNA from 1 species